rnacentral:lncRNA from 1 species
CAUUUUAGUGCAAACCCCAGGAUCCAAGGCUAAAAGCCUAAGUCACAAGUUCAACUCCAGCAGCUUGCUGACCCAUCAGCAACAGGGCUCAGCCCUUUCUGCUGAAUCCUAGCUUUGCACAUUCUGGACAGAUCAUGCACAUACAUGUUAUAUUCCAGGGUUACAUGAGAUUGCAUGCAAUUCACACAUAACAUCAUUGGAAGGCACUGUAUUGUGUAGCAGAAACCGCUACGUUCUGGCAAGUCUUCCUAGGGUGGAUCACAAGUGGUCCUCCACGUGAAAUCAUUAGAAACUUUGGUGCCAAGCUCUGGCGCUACCUGAUCCUACUAAGCCACCCAUCUUGCCUUCUCGCCCUCUCUUCUGUUUCCCCCUCUUAAAGCAUGUGCCAAGCUUGGAUGACGGUGUUACUUGAUGACGAAAUCGUAUUUUAUACAGACUUUCAAAAUUAUUUCAGUCAAUCAGGCAAAAACUUACAAUAAGUUAUGAAAUCUACAGUAAGUUGUGGCCAGUUUCCUCUCUCCUGGAUUCUAGCAAGGCCUAUAAUCCGUAAGAUUCACUGAGAUAAGGUACACAAGGCUGUAGCUAGCAAGUGAUGUAGAAUAAAACUUGACUUCUAGAAGUCUGACCUCAGUGAAGCUGCCGCCACACCUGACUUUAGAGUAUCUAAGUCCCAGUUGGCAGACUGCAAAUAUUUAUCAUCCUUUACCAAGGAGAGCAGAUCUGGGCAUGUCUAAAGGACGUAAGUGCGUAUUUCCAGUAUCUGCCACAAAGGAAGAGGACAUGAGACGAAAAGUUCAGAGUGUUCUGUAAGAAAAGGGCUCCGAUGAUACAUCUGAUCUCUAAGACGGACUGUUCUAAUCCCACCCACUGUGCUAUUCUAGUGUGUUUUUUGGUAAUAUCAAGUUGAGGUCUGAGAAGGAAAAUCUAUUUAAGGACCUAAAUCUGGUUCUUUAGCCAGAAAGGGUCAUCACUGAAUUCCUAAGGGCUCAAAAAAACAAAAAACCCCACCAAAACCAACCUACCAAAACUCAAAACCAAAACAAAGAAAAACCUCUCAAAAGAAAAACAGACAAACCAAUCAAUGUUAAAAACAGCUUUCAAGUCACACACUGGCCUAUUCAUUCUGACUGCCAGAGCCUUUCCGGAAAGCACAAAGGAAGCAGCUGGCUCGCAUCGGGUUGGACCUUCUCUCAUGGGUCAGGCCCUGAAGUGCUUCUAGCUGGAAUCCUUAGUCAACUGUCUGAAGUUCUGUUCUGGAUGAACCACAGAUGCAGCGGCCUUUUAUCUUCCAAUGGGGACCCCGGAGGUUCAGUGGGUGGCUACAGAUUACAGGUUGCCUCAAAAGUACCCCAGGCCUCUGUUAUAAACAUGUAUUAUAUAAAUAUUUUGUAUCGACUACAGACACCUGUAGAAAUGGAAAAGCAAGUCUUGUCAACAAGAAAUGGAUGUCCACACACAAACCAAGAAAGAUUCUGAGAAAAAGUACACUAGUAGGUCAAAAUGCCCAAACGUAUCAUCUAGGCACCUAUCUUAAAAAGCAAGCAACGGGGCAGGUGGUUGUGGCGCACACGCCUUUAAUCCCGGUGCUCAGGAGUCAGAGGCAGGUGGACCUCUGACUUCCAGGCUAGCCUGGUCUACAGAGUUCUAAGAUACCCAAGGCUAUACGGAGAAAUCCUGCCUUUUAAAAAAAAAAAAAAAAAAAAAGA